GAUGAACGCUGGCGGCGUGCUUAACACAUGCAAGUCGAACGAUGAAGCCCAGCUUGCUGGGUGGAUUAGUGGCGAACGGGUGGGUAACACGUGAGUAACCUGCCCUUAACUCUGGGAUAAGCCUGGGAAACUGGGUCUAAUACCGGAUAGGAGCACCUACCGCAUGGUGGGUGUUGGAAAGAUUUAUCGGUUUUGGAUGGACUCGCGGCCUAUCAGCUUGUUGGUGAGGUAAUGGCUCACCAAGGCGACGACGGGUAGCCGGCCUGAGAGGGUGACCGGCCACACUGGGACUGAGACACGGCCCAGACUCCUACGGGAGGCAGCAGUGGGGAAUAUUGCACAAUGGGCGAAAGCCUGAUGCAGCGACGCCGCGUGAGGGAUGACGGCCUUCGGGUUGUAAACCUCUUUCAGUAGGGAAGAAGCGAAAGUGACGGUACCUGCAGAAGAAGCACCGGCUAACUACGUG
rnacentral:rRNA from 1 species